AGGAUAAUAAGUUAAAAAAACUAAUUAAUUUGCAGUUAAUAAUUAUUAAAAAAAAUUUAUCUUA
rnacentral:tRNA from 1 species